rnacentral:rRNA from 1 species
AGCUCAAGUCUUUUGUCUAUGGCCAUGUGCCCAAUCUCAUCUGAUCUUGGAAGCUAAGCAGAGUUGGAUCUUGUUAGUACUUGGAUGGGAGACCACCUAGGAAUCCCAGGUGCUACAGGCG